rnacentral:rRNA from 1 species
GCUUGUCUCAAAGAUUAAGCCAUGCAUGUCUAAGUAUAAGCAUUAUACAGUGAAACUGCGAAUGGCUCAUUAUAUCAGUUAUAGUUUAUUUGAUAGUCCCUGCUAUUUGGAUAACCGUAGUAAUUCUAGAGCUAAUACAUGCACCAAGCAGCCCUCACGGGUUGUGUAUUUAUUAGAUGGAAACCAAUGCGGGGCAACCCGGAAUAUGGUGAAUCAUAAUAACUGUCGUAUCGAGCAAUCGAAGCGCCAUACAAGUUUCUGCCCUAUCAGCUUUGGAUGGUAGGGUAUUGGCCUACCAUGGCUUUAACGGGUAACGGAGAAUUAGGGUUCGAUUCCGGAGAGGGAGCCUGAGAAACGGCUACCACAUCCAAGGAAGGCAGCAGG